AUCUGGCCCUGCUUUGCAGUUUACGGCGCUGCCCAGUUUUGACUUGGGCUGACCCAAAGAUAAUUUGGGUCUGAUGCCUUCAACAUCCUGCACUCAUCAAGUCAUGAGGCAUAAGACCUGUUGCUAUGCUGUAUGGGAUACCUGUCACCAUCAUUAUGGGAGACCUAAAAGCUGUUGCUAUGCUGUAUGGGAAGUGGAUGAGCCUAACAAAGGAAUCUCCACUAAAAACAACAAAACCCUUAAAGCUGGACACGAUGGUACCCAAGCUCACCCAGAGAGAAAAGAGAAGGCCAAAACUACUUCAAAAGCACUGCCAGUCAUAAAAUUAAAAUUGUCGAAGGGACCCGUAAACGAUCCAAUGAACUCACUGCCAGAAAACAGCAAGAGAGUCUUAGUGCGUCCAGAAGGUCAGCUAUGCCCGGGACACAUCCCCUCUAGUGUCCCUGUCUGCAUUCAUCCAGUCACCGGGUCACACCCUGUGUCACAAGAUGUGUCACGUUCCUGUCCUUCUCCUCAUCUAAAGACCCUGGUUCGAACCAACGACCCCUUCUCAAAAAUGACAUCUCCAACCCUUGCCCCUCUGUCAUCUUGCCCUUGCCACUGUGCCAUCAGAUUGAAGCUUGACCCCCCAAACUCAAGGUUUGUAAUACUGCAGAAGGUCAGUCAGCAGAACCUGAGCCCGAAUAAAUUCCCAGAGGGUGAAAUGAGAGACAGGCCCUCAUCUCAUGUCGCAGUCACAGUCACAGACGUCUGCCCUAGGAGACUAAUCCAGCAAGGGGGGACAAUGCCCCCCACACAAGAUUGUCCUAUGUGGACUCAGCAGGGGACACAACAAAUCCCUUUGCAAGUGUAUAAUGGAGUGCCUGCCUCUGACUGCCCUCAUUGCAACAAACAAUAUGUUUAGAAGGAAAGUGACCUGACCUGCUGGUCCUAAAGAUGGUUUACCAUGAGUAACAAAUAAACACAAAUGCGGUUGCCUUGAAUUCAUC